AAAUGAAUAGACGGGACCCCGCACAAGCAGCGGAGCGUGUGGUUUAAUUCGAUGCUACACGAAGAACCUUACCUGGGAUGGACAUGGAGGUGGUAGGGAGCCGAAAGGCGACCGACUCUUCGGAGAGCCUUCACAGGUGCUGCAUGGCUGUCGUCAGCUCGUGCCGUGAGGUGUCGGGUUAAGUCCCGUAACGAGCGCAACCCCUGCCCUUAGUUACAAGUGUCUAAGGGGACUGCCGGCGACAAGCCGGAGGAAGGUGGGGAUGACGUCAAGUCAGCAUGGCCUUUAUAUCCAGGGCUACACACACGCUACAAUGGGCGGUACAACGGGCAGCGAAGCCGUGAGGCGGAGCGAAUCCUGAAAAGCCGUUCCCAGUUCGGAUUGCAGGCUGCAACCCGCCUGCAUGAAGUUGGAGUUGCUAGUAACCGCGCGUCAGCCAUAGUGCGGUGAAUACGUUCCCGGGGUUUGUACACACCGCCCGU
rnacentral:rRNA from 1 species